rnacentral:rRNA from 1 species
CGGCAACAGCUCAAAUUUGAAAUCUGGCUCUCGGGCCCGAGUUGUAAUCUAUAGAAGUGUUUUCCGUGCCGGACCAUGUCCAAGUCCCUUGGAACAGGGUAUCAAAGAGGGUGACAAUCCCGUACUUGACAUGACCACCGGUGCUCUGUGAUACACUUUCUAC